UACGUAGGGUCCGAGCGUUGUCCGGAAUUAUUGGGCGUAAAGGGCUCGUAGGCGGUUUGUCGCGUCGGGAGUGAAAACUCAGGGCUCAACCCUGAGCGUGCUUCCGAUACGGGCAGACUAGAGGUAUGCAGGGGAGAACGGAAUUCCUGGUGUAGCGGUGGAAUGCGCAGAUAUCAGGAGGAACACCGGUGGCGAAGGCGGUUCUCUGGGCAUUACCUGACGCUGAGGAGCGAAAGUGUGGGGAGCGAACAGG
rnacentral:rRNA from 1 species